UACGUAGGGCCCAAGCGUUAUCCGGAAUUACUGGGCGUAAAGCGUGUGUAGGCGGCGCGUUAAGUGCAACGCGAAAUCUUGCGGCUCAACCGUAUAGACUGUGUUGCAUACUGGCGUGCUCGAGGACGUGAGAGGCAAGUGGAAUUUGUAGUGUAGCAGUGAAAUGCGUAGAUAUUACAAGGAACACCAAUGGCGAAGGCAGCUUGCUGGCACGUAUCUGACGCUGAGACACGAAAGCGUGGGGAGCGAACAGG
rnacentral:rRNA from 1 species